GUCUGGAUAGCUCAGUGGUCUAGAGCAGUUGCACAGAAAGCGAAAGAUACGGGUUUGAUUCCCGAUUCAGCCA
rnacentral:tRNA from 1 species